rnacentral:rRNA from 1 species
CCUACGGGAGGCAGCAGUAGGGAAUUUUCGUCAAUGGGCGCAAGCCUGAACGAGCAAUGCCGCGUGAACGAGGAAGGUCGUCGGAUCGUAAAGUUCUGUUGAAGGGGAAAAAGAGCGGAGAGAGGAAAUGGUCUCCGAUUGAUAUUACCCUUCGAGGAAGUCACGGCUAACUACGUGCCAGCAGCCGCUGUAAUACGUAGGUGGCGAGCGUUAUUCGGAAUGAUUGGGCGUAAAGGGUGCGUAGGCGGCCUGCUAAGUCUGGAGUGAAAGGUACCGGCUCAACCGGUACAGGCUCUGGAAACUGGCGGGCUAGAGAGCAGGAGAGGGCGGUGGAACUCCAUGUGUAGCGGUAAAAUGCGUAGAUAUAUGGAAGAACACCAGUGGCGAAGGCGGCCGCCUGGCCUGUUACUGACGCUGAGGCACGAAAGCGUGGGGAGCAAAUAGGAUUAGAUACCCUGGUAGUC